GGCAGUUCUCGGAUGACACAACCCGGAAUCGGCUCCCUCCUCUCUGAUUCCGGGUGCGUCACCCAAGAACCUCA
rfam:Myotis lucifugus cont2.20741, whole genome shotgun sequence.